NNNNNNNNNNNNNNNNNNNNNNNNNNNNNNNNNNNNNNNNNNNNNNNNNNNNNNNNNNNNGCCCCUCGCCCACGGGGCCCCGAGCGGCCUAAUUCCGGCCCUCUCGCCAUGGCCUCGGCUCACCGGGGGCUUGGGGGUCCCAGGUGAUUGGGGAGCAGCGGCACCGGUGGGUGCUGCGGGCCCUGUGCCGGGGUGCAGCGGUGCUGGGGGCGAGCCUGGCCCCCCCACAGAGCGCGGUGCAGCGCAGCACGGCACGGCACGGCACGGCGCGGCAUGGCCUGGCGCAGGGCGAGCACUCACGGGAGGUGUCUGCGGCGCGGCGGGAGGCAAGCCGGGACACGGGGUGCCGCCUCGCGCCGCGCCGCUGGGGUGACAUCACGGCGCCCGGGGCCGGCAGAUGCUGGCGAUAAAGUGGGGGGGUCCCCGGGGUGCAGGGUGCGCCGGGAACGGCGCUUCCCAGCGAGCCCAGGCGUCCGGCGCUCCCCAAACCCACGCGGCCUCCCCAGAGCUGGACGCUGGCCCCAGGCAUCCCGCCUCCCUCCCCCUGGCCGUGCCCGAACCCCGCAGCGAGCCCAGGCGUCCAGGCUGCCCUCUGCCCCCGCCCGGCCCCGGCACACCUGGCGCUGGGGCGGGCGCUGAGCCCCGUCCUGCCGGUACGGAGCGAUGGCGCAGCGCCGGCACGGCUCCUUUGCUGCGGUGCCUGCCGGGGGCAGGGAGCAGGGGGGUCGCCGUGKGCACGGCCAGGCGCGAGGGCUGCGCGGGGGCUGCGUGUGCCAGGCCUGGCAGAGCCCUGUGUGCACGCAGGCACCAGCUGGGCUCGCACCAGGGCGCCGCGCGGCGGCAGCUCCCCCGGGCGCGCGGGGGCCCCCGAGACGCCCCGGCCCAGCGAGCAGGGCAGACGCCCCAGCGGGGCCUGCGCAGCCGGGGCAAAUAUUUGCCUUCGGUCAUAAAGCCCUGCGCYGCGCGGGGUGACCCUGACCCGGGGGGGGGUGCCGCGGCGGGACGCUCCGGUGCAGCGAGGCUCCCCCACCUCGCGGUGCCGCGGGUCGGGCCUGGCGCCUUCGCAGGGUGCGUCCGGAAACACCCAUGGUGGGYGAAACCCGCGCCGCUUCCCCGGCCGGCCCGGCACACCCGUGGCCCCGCAGCACCCUUAACGCCUGGCACGACACGGCCCCGGGGCCGCRUGGUGCUGACGGCAGCUGCCGCCGCGCCAGGCUCUGCUGCAGGCGCCAGGGCGAGGGCUCGCGGGGGCCGGGGCACACGGUGGGGGCCGGUGCGGCUGUGCACGGCCACGGGGUGCAUGCGGGCGAGCGUGCAGCAGCGGGRCACACGCUCACCCCCUGCCUCCACCGCCCCGGCUCCAGCCUGCGCCAGCACCCGCAGCCCUGCCCUGCCGACGGCCCCCGGGUGCUUUCCGCUUUCCUGCCCCGCACGGGGGGCAAUUAUGUGCCCGGGGAGCAGCCCCCCCCCUCCCCCGGCCGGCUCCCGCGGCCCCGGYGCUGGCUGCUGGCGAGACGGUGCUGGCGCGGCUCUGCCAGACGCCGGGUGGGCGACGGCGCUGCCGGUGUGUCCCUGGCAGGAGCCGGGAACACGGCGUCUGCCGGCGAGCGCAGGCAGCCGCCGCGCCGCGGGGGUGGACCCAGCCCCACCGCCUGGCACCCGGCACCUGCGAGGGCUGCGCCACCCGUGGGCGCCCCCAGCCCCGCUGGCCCUGGGCGUCCCGGGGGGCCCUGGCACUCGGACAGCUCCGAGCCCGGGUGCAGAAGCCUUGCGAGGGGCCGGGGCCGCGCGUGGCCCCUCCGUGGCUCCCCACGCGGGGGACGUGGCCCUGCUCCGGCACGGCGCCGCGCGGCUCCUGCACGAGGGGCGGCGGCGGCGGGGUGGCCAGGGCGGGCGCUGCCGGCGCAGGGCCGGGAUCCUGGAAUUAAAAACAUUCCAGGAACUGACUUUGAACCAGAUAAAACAACAAGCGCCGCAAGGAAUGUCUCACCCCACCCCCCGGGCGGCCGGCGGCCUCCGUCCCGUCGCAGCCCAGCCCCACGCCGCCCCCAGCCGCCCCCGCGCCCCCGCCUGCGUGCAAACCGUGCGGCCCGGGGGCCCCUGCACGCGGGCAUCGGCUGCGCGUGCAUGCAGCCAGGGUGCACAUGCACAYGGGUGCGCGCC
rnacentral:lncRNA from 1 species